rnacentral:lncRNA from 1 species
GUCCUUUUGGAAUUUGCAAAAUCUUUGUGCAAACCUCCUUCUCUAUGUUCAGCUUGGUUUAGAAUGUUCUCUGUCUUCGGUGCACUUGUGAGAUGGUCAAUAAUCCCAUCUAAAUGUCACUGCCCAUCUCUAUCCCAGCUUUCAGGAACCUGGAUCACAGCUAUGGCAGGGAUGGGAACUGGAAUCAGCGAUCGAUGUUACCUAUUAGAGUGUUUGAUGAGAUGCAAUGAAAUCAUGUACAUAAACCUGGGCAUAAGGACAUUUGUACUAAAGAACUUGCCCGACGAAGCACACACAGCGGAUCCAGAAAUAGCAGAUUUAUGAAGGUGAGGAAUAUCAUCAGAUGUCAACUAACCUUAAGAGAUGAGAUGACAGAAGAAUGUACAUGGGGUCCUGGCCACAGCAGCUGGGCAGGCUAGAAAUUAGGAGUAGAUAUGACAAGAGUGCAAAAAUACUAUCGUAGGAUUUCGGUCUGUCUUGUUCAACGCAAUCUCCUUUAUUGAGUGGGGCAUUUUAUGAGGUCAGUGUUGGUUGAAUGUUUGACUGAAUAAAUAUAUAAAAGUGGGGAUGGGGGAGAGAUGAUCCAAUGGCUCCCAAUUCAAAGAAUUUCUUCUUCAGGGAGGGUUUCUUUGCCUCUAACACCUGGCCAGUUCUUCUUUUCCUGAUUUCCUUGUGCUUAGACGUGCUGUCCACAGUUGCAACCCUACAAAUAAUUGUGUGAUUACUUUUUCCUUCUACUACCCACAAAUUCUGUGAGGCCGAGACCAUGUCUAGUAUGUCUCCUCCAAUAAAUCAUGACUGGCAUGUAGAAGACACUCAAAAAUAUUAAGUGAAGGAAGGGU